GAUGAACGCCAGCGGCAGGCUUAAUACAUGCAAGUCGUGGGGCAGCGCAGUGUAGCAAUACAUGGGCGGCGACCGGCAAACGGGUGCGUAACACGUACGCAACCUUCCCGUUACUGGGGAAUAGCCCAGGGAAACUUGGAUUAAUACCCCAUAUUAUAUUGAUUGGGCAUCUAAUUAAUAUCAAAGCUUCGGCGGUAACGGAUGGGCGUGCGGUUGAUUAGGUAGUUGGCGGGGUAACGGCCCACCAAGCCUACGAUCAAUAGCUGAUGUGAGAGCAUGAUCAGCCACACGGGCACUGAGACACGGGCCCGACUCCUACGGGAGGCAGCAGUAAGGAAUAUUGGGCAAUGGACGAAAGUCUGACCCAGCCAUGCCGCGUGGAGGGUGAAGGUCCUCUGGAUUGUAAACUUCCUUUUUCUGGGGCGAAAACCGGUUUUUCUAAACCAUUUGACAGUACCAGAAGAAUAAGCACCGGCUAACUCCGUGCCAGCAGCCGCCGUAACAC
rnacentral:rRNA from 1 species